rnacentral:rRNA from 1 species
CCUACGGGAGGCAGCAGUGGGGAAUAUUGCACAAUGGGGGAAACCCUGAUGCAGCGACGCCGCGUGAGUGAAGAAGUAUUUCGGUAUGUAAAGCUCUAUCAGCAGGAACGAGACAAGACGGUACCUGACUAAGAAGCCCCGGCUAACUACGUGCCAGCAGCCGCGGUAAUACGUAGGGGGCAAGCGUUAUCCGGAAUCACUGGGUUUAAAGGGAGCGUAGACGGCUGAGCAAGCCUGAAGUGAAAGGCGGGGGCCCAACCCCCGGACUGCUUUGGGAACUGGACGGCUGGAGUGCAUGAGAGGUAAGUGGAAUUCCUAGUGUAGCGGUGAAAGGCGUAGAUAGUAGGAGGAACACCAGUGGCGAAGGCGGCUUACUGGACUGUAACUGACGUUGAGGCUCGAAAGCGUGGGGAGCAAACAGGAUUAGAUACCCUUGUAGUC